rnacentral:lncRNA from 1 species
GGCCCUUUGAAAAAGAAAAAUAAUAAAAUUCCAAAAAAAAAGUCCCAUAAGUCUCAGUUCACAAAAUUGAGAGUAUCAAGCUUUUCUAGGUUGCCCAGCUGACCUAUACAGCUAUGCCCUGUUUGGCAUUACAUCCCAUUUCUAGCUUUUGUUUUUCAAAAACACAGAAACUGAGGCAGAAAUAGCAUUUGGUAACCCUAUUUCCUUUUUCAAUUCUUUGAAAACCCUUCUUAGUUUCUAGAAAUUGUGGAAACUAUCAAAGUUUUUGAAAACCAAAACCACCUAUGGUCACCAUCACCACCUCCCUGCUGCCACUGUCGCCAAACACAACCCAACUGACUACCAAACAAAUUCUGGGUACCAGUUAAAAUAAUAAUAAUAAUAGUAGUAGUAGUAGUAGUAAUAGUAGUAGUAGUAGUAGAAAUUGGUUUUAGUUUUCAUGAAAAC